ensembl:lncRNA
CACACACACACACACACACACACACACACACACACACACACACACACAACGUAUGUUUUCCACACACAACUCCAGUACUCACCUCCAUCUUCUCCUCUCCCAGAAAAUGCUGAUGGUGCGAUCUCCCGUUGCCCGCCCACCCGUCCCCCCCCUCUCUCUCUCUCUCUCUCUCUCUCUCUCUCUCUCUCUCUCUCACAGCACUAUUUGUCUCGUCCUAUGAAUUAUGCAUAUGAUUAAUUAGGCUGGUCAUUACAGUACAUGGUCAUCUGGAAACUCCCCUUUGUUCUAGUUCAAACAUAAAAUGGGCCCGUUUCUUCCCCCCCCCCCCACACCAUCCCUCUCGCCCGCCGCCAUUGUCGGCCGCGUGUUAUGGAUGAGAGGGAGGGCCCCGGGUAUUUGUUGUACCCCUCGGGAUGCUGCGUGGUGUUGCGCAGGGGGGGAAUACAAUGAAAUAACAAGAUAACAAGAUAAAAGCCUCGUGUCGGACUUCAAAGCCCAACGGCUCCCUGUAUAGAAGCCCUGUGAAACGGGGGCCUUGGUGAUUACAAAGAACGGUGGGGCCCUCAUGGGAGGCAGGCGGGGGGGGGGGGGCCCAUACGUGGACAUGGGGGGUGUCGCACAUAAAGACACAGGUGUACAUGUGACGGAGGCAAUAUGCAAUAUGUAAACCCCCCUUUGGUGCACCUCGGAAACACACGGGAAGCUGGAGUGGAAGCAACUUGCCUCCUGGUGGCCUUCGUACAGCAACACAACAGUUCACCCUCACCAGCAGCGGUCAAGUUCAGCCGCCAUCGCUCCUUUUCAAUGUCACCGUGAGGGUUGAGCACUCAUCUAAAAGGUGUGAAUCUCCCGCCAACCUGUGAUUCCAGCCAAAAGCGUCCCAGCUCAAAGGUGCUGCCUUGUGCAAUAAAUCCGCUAAGCAGUUAUUGAUCCGUGCUCACAAAGGUGGGCCUGACAGCAGGAGCGAGGGGGGCAUUGGGGCAUAUUCCUCCGCAGAUGCAACAAGCAAAGCUCACUUUGUGCCUCCCUCCAUGAAGUGGGGGGGCGGCGGAAUCCUGCAUCAUGAAUCCUUUUGGCCUCUCAUCGAUCCAGGGCUCCAAUAACUCUGUAUUGACCGUCCGUCUUUCCCUGUAAAGACAUCACUCAUGUCCGCCGGUGGCCGAGCGGCAGUGAGACCACGCGGACUGUCAGUGGCAAGCUUCACCUCGCAAAAGGACCACACGCCAGAAUGUGGUUCACAGUGACGAGCUUUGCAAAAGGAAAUGUAGUCAUCCCCGAACACAAGCCUUCUCACCUCGUGAGGCGAUGCAUGUCUGUGUUUGCUCGCUGCUCAACCCCGAGCAGCGUCAGACGGCAUCACCCUGAUGCAUUCGCUCUGUGUGUGUGUGUGUGUGUGUGUGGAGUGAGUAAUGAAGCGCUGGGUGUCUCGCUGGCUGCUGCGUAAUCAUGCAAAUCAGCGUUGCACUCUUCUGCAAGCGAGGAUAUUACAGGUGACGCCGGACGGUGAGUGAGGGUGACCCCCCCUCCCCUCCCACGGCGGAUUCACUCUGCGGCACUGAUGUGAAAGAUUAACAGGGAGAGACACAAAGACGGGCAGGGGAGCGGGGAGGAGAUAUACAAAAACAAAAAAAUGUUUCCACGAUAAGGAGGGUUUAUAAUCGAGGGAAUUAAGUGCAUUUGCCUUGGAGUCUUGCUCUCCAUGGGUGUUCAUACGCAGAAGUUGCAACUGUUUUGUCCCCCGAGCGUGCACUUGUGUGUGUGUGUGUGUGUGUGUGUGUGUGUGUGUAUUGUUGGCGAUGAAGCCGACGAGUACUGACAUUUGCACUGAUGUGCACUGAAGUGGAAAUUACAGUGCGGACUGACGUCACCUGACUCUCACCUCCAAAGGAGGCGCAGGUCUCCUCUAAAGCUCGGGACACAAGCACACACAUGUGUACAUUCGUGUUUUUUUUUUUUUUCAGAUCACGUUUUGUUUACAUGGAGUUUGAACGUUUCUUCAGCCCCUGCAACUCUCGCUUGGUGUUUGAUGAGAGCUAGCAGGACGUUGUGGCAUUUAGAGGCCCUUUGGGCACGAGAUCCAAAUGUUUAAUACCAAUACGUUUUCAAACAUCGCUCAGAGAAGAAAAACCUACCUCGGGCCUUUUGUUUGUUGAGAUUUUUCGUUGAAAUCUAAAUGCUCCUUGCUGAUUCCUGCAACAUAAUUCAUUUAAGUUAUAUUCCCAGUGGAUGCAUUUCAGACUUCAAACCUAAAGCAAAAAACCUUUUAAGGCUUAAAUCCAGUGACACAACUAAUGACUAGUUCAGUUCAGUAUAAAUGACUAAAUAGUGCACAAACACACACUUCUAUAUGAAUACGUAAUACUGCUAAUAUGUCACUACUAUUUCCUUAUGCGCAUGACAUUCAAACAGCAUACGGAUGCAAAGUGUUGUUCAGCUUGAUAUAUACAAACAUAUAAAACCCAAACUAGCUGUUUGCAUAUGAGCAGGAGUGAGAACAUCUGCUACAAAACAGGAAGGAGAAGAACGACAGAUCUGCAACAUACUACCUGGCCCAUGAGAGCAGAACCGAGUCAUGCUACACAGAUCCAAUGACCCAGUGUCACUUUACCUGGAGUUAAGUGGGCAGAAGUCUGACUUGCUUAAAUCCAUCAACAAUAUAACCACAUAGCUACUGAAGACCUCAAAUCUGGUUGAUCCAAAAAUAAUUUUAAUAUUUUCUUUGCCUCAGUUUUAAGUGGAUUUUGUAUUUCUACCUGUUUUUUUAAAUUUACUAAUAAGGCAUCCUCCAUUCUGGAAAAUGGAUAUCAGAACUCAUGAACAAUUUGCUAAAGUGACUUGGCCAAGAAACCGUUUCCUAAAACCUGACCUGGGAUUCUUUCACAUUUAGAUAUAAAUACAAAUAAACACAAAUCGUCUCUACGAUACAUGUGUUCAUCCUCACCUGUACACAAGUGUUCAUCCUCACCUGUGGUGUUCAUCCCCACCUGUAAACAGAAGUUCAUCCUCACCUGUACACAAGUGUUCAUCCUCACCUGUGGUGUUCAUCCCCAC